rnacentral:rRNA from 1 species
GACGAACGCUGGCGGCGUGCCUAAUACAUGCAAGUCGAACGAACCGCGACUAAGUGCUUGCACUAAGUCAAGGUGAGUGGCGAACGGGUGAGUAACACGUGGGUAACCUACCUCAUAGUGGGGGAUAACAGUCGGAAACGACUGCUAAUACCGCAUAGGACAUAGGAUCACAUGAUCCAGUGAGGAAAGGUGGCGCAAGCUAUCGCUAAGAGAUGGACCCGCGGUGCAUUAGCUAGUUGGUAGGGUAAAGGCCUACCAAGGCGAUGAUGCAUAGCCGACCUGAGAGGGUGAUCGGCCACAUUGGGACUGAGACACGGCCCAAACUCCUAAGGGAGGCAGCAGUAGGGAAUCUUCCGCAAUGGACGCAAGUCUGACGGAGCAACGCCGCGUGAGUGAAGAAGGUCUUCGGAUCGUAAAGCUCUGUUGUUAGAGAAGAACAGCGCAUAGAGUAACUGCUAUGCGUGUGACGGUAUCUAACCAGAAAGCCACGGCUAACUACGUG